AGAUAGCGAUACACCAAUAAUGCACCUGAACACACCUCCCUGUAAGACCAGCACGCCCAUGGGCGCGAAGAUGGGCACAGGUGCAUUUGCUAUUUAAACAACGAGGGCGCUGGACGGUCUUAAUAAAAAGCAAAGACACUUGCGUCUGAGAGAAUGAAAGAAUGAGGAGA